AGGAGUAACAACCACGGUGGUGGCGGCAGCUCCGGAAACCUGGAUUCAGCCCCCGCAGGAACUCUGAAGCACUCCGCCUGCAGGGCCUCGAGGCUCCGGGGGGCG
rnacentral:pre_miRNA from 1 species